rnacentral:rRNA from 1 species
GAUGAACGCUAGCGGCAGGCUUAAUACAUGCAAGUCGAGGGACAGCACAGGUAGCAAUACUGGGUGGUAACCGGCAAACGGGUGCGGAACACGUACACAACCUUCCUUUAAGUGGGGGAUAGCCCAGAGAAAUUUGGAUUAAUACCCCGUAAUAUAGUUGAAUGGCAUCAUUUGAUUAUUAUAGCUACGGCGCUUAAAGAUGGGUGUGCGGACGAGUAGAUAGUUGGCGGGGUAACGGACGACAAAGUCUACGAUCAGUAGCUGAUGUGAGAACAUGAUCAGCCACGCGGGCACUGAUACACGGUCCCGACUCCUACGGGAGGCAGUAGUAAGGAAUAUUGGUCAAUGGACGCAAGUCUGAACCAACCAUGCCGCGUUAAGGAUUAAGGUCCUCUGGAUUGUAAACUUCUUUUAUUUGGGACGAAAAAGGGCCUUUCUAGGUCAACUGACGGUACCAGAUGAAUAAGCACCGGCUAACUCCGUGCCAGCCGCCGCAGUAAAAC